rnacentral:rRNA from 1 species
AUUGAACGCUGGCGGCAGGCCUAACACAUGCAAGUCGAGCGGAUGACGGGAGCUUGCUCCUUGAUUCAGCGGCGGACGGGUGAGUAAUGCCUAGGAAUCUGCCUGGUAGUGGGGGACAACGUUUCGAAAGGAACGCUAAUACCGCAUACGUCCUACGGGAGAAAGCAGGGGACCUUCGGGCCUUGCGCUAUCAGAUGAGCCUAGGUCGGAUUAGCUAGUUGGUGGGGUAAUGGCUGACCAAGGCGACGAUCCGUAACUGGUCUGAGAGGAUGAUCAGUCACACUGGAACUGAGACACGGUCCAGACUCCUACGGGAGGCAGCAGUGGGAAAUAUUGGACAAUGGGCGAAAGCCUGAUCCAUCCAUGCCGCGUGUGUGAAGAAAGUCUUCGGAUUGUAAAGCACUCUAAGUUAGGAGGAAGGGCAGUAAGCUAAUACCUUGCUGUUUUGACGUUACCGACAGAAUAAGCACCGGCUAACUCUGUGCCAGCCGCCGCAGUAACAC